CUCCAUGUGCUAGGCAUGACUAUAGAAUGCAGUCGAGCGGACAGAUGGGAGCUUGCUCCCUGAUGUUAGCGGCGGACGGGUGAGUAACACGUGGGUAACCUGCCUGUAAGACUGGGAUAACUCCGGGAAACCGGGGCUAAUACCGGAUGCUUGUUUGAACCGCAUGGUUCAAACAUAAAAGGUGGCUUCGGCUACCACUUACAGAUGGACCCGCGGCGCAUUAGCUAGUUGGUGAGGUAAUGGCUCACCAAGGCAACGAUGCGUAGCCGACCUGAGAGGGUGAUCGGCCACACUGGGACUGAGACACGGCCCAGACUCCUACGGGAGGCAGCAGUAGGGAAUCUUCCGCAAUGGACGAAAGUCUGACGGAGCAACGCCGCGUGAGUGAUGAAGGUUUUCGGAUCGUAAAGCUCUGUUGUUAGGGAAGAACAAGUGCCGUUCAAAUAGGGCGGCACCUUGACGGUACCUAACCAGAAAGCCACGGCUAACUANGUGCCAGCAGCCGCGGUAAUACGUAGGUGGCAAGCGUUGUCCGGAAUUAUUGGGCGUAAAGGGNUCGCAGGCGGUUUCUUUAAUUUUGAUUUGAAAAGCCCCCGGCUCAACCGGGGAGGGUCAUUGGAAACUGGGGAACUUGAGUGCAGAAGAAAGAGAGUGGAAUUUCCACGUGUAGCGGUGAAAUGCGUAGAGAUGUGGAGGAACACCAGUGGCGAAGGCGACUCUCUGGUCUGUAACUGACGCUGAGGAGCGAAAGCGUGGGGAGCGAACAGGAUUAGAUACCCUGGUAGUCCACGCCGUAAACGAUGAGUGCUAAGUGUUAGGGGGUUUCCGCCCCUUAGUGCUGCAGCUAACGCAUUAAGCACUCCGCCUGGGGAGUACGGUCGCAAGACUGAAACUCAAAGGAAUUGACGGGGGCCCGCACAAGCGGUGGAACAUGUGGUUUAAUUCGAAGCAACGCGAAGAACCUUACCAGGUCUUGACAUCCUCUGACAACCCUAGAGAUAGGGCUUUCCCUUCGGGGGCAGAGUGACAGGUGGUGCAUGGUUGUCGUCAGCUCGUGUCNUGAGAUGUUGGGUUAAGUCCCGCAACAAGCGCAACCCUUGAUCUUAGUUGCCAACAUUCAGUUGGGCACUCUAAGGUGACUGCCGUUGACAAACCGNAGGAAGGUGGGGAUGACGUCAAAUCAUCAUGCCCCUUAUGACCUGGGCUACACACGUGCUACAAUGGACAGAACAAAGGGCAGCGAGACCGCGAGGUUAAGCCAAUCCCACAAAUCUGUUCUCAGUUCGGAUCGCAGUCUGCAACUCGACUGCGUGAAGCUGGAAUCGCUAGUAAUCGCGGAUCAGCAUGCCGCGGUGAAUACGUUCCCGGGCCUUGUACACACCGCCCGUCACACCACGAGAGUUUGUAACACCCGAAGUCGGUGAGGUAACCUUUAUGGAGCCAGCCGCGAAGGUGGACAGAAAGGAA
rnacentral:rRNA from 1 species